AUUGAACGCUGGCGGCAGGCUUAACACAUGCAAGUCGAACGAUGAUUAUCUAGCUUGCUAGAUAUGAUUAGUGGCGGACGGGUGAGUAACAUUUAGGAAUCUGCCUAGUAGUGGGGGAUAGCUCGGGGAAACUCGAAUUAAUACCGCAUACGACCUACGGGUGAAAGGGGGCGCAAGCUCUUGCUAUUAGAUGAGCCUAAAUCAGAUUAGCUAGUUGGUGGGGUAAAGGCCCACCAAGGCGACGAUCUGUAACUGGUCUGAGAGGAUGAUCAGUCACACCGGAACUGAGACACGGUCCGGACUCCUACGGGAGGCAGCAGUGGGGAAUAUUGGACAAUGGGGGCAACCCUGAUCCAGCCAUGCCGCGUGUGUGAAGAAGGCCUUUUGGUUGUAAAGCACUUUAAGCAGGGAGGAGAGGCUAAUGGUUAAUACCCAUUAGAUUAGACGUUACCUGCAGAAUAAGCACCGGCUAACUCUGUGCCAGCAGCCGCGGUAAUACAGAGGGUGCGAGCGUUAAUCGGAAUUACUGGGCGUAAAGCGAGUGUAGGUGGCUCAUUAAGUCACAUGUGAAAUCCCCGGGCUUAACCUGGGAACUGCAUGUGAUACUGGUGGUGCUAGAAUAUGUGAGAGGGAAGUAGAAUUCCAGGUGUAGCGGUGAAAUGCGUAGAGAUCUGGAGGAAUACCGAUGGCGAAGGCAGCUUCCUGGCAUAAUAUUGACACUGAGAUUCGAAAGCGUGGGUAGCAAACAGGAUUAGAUACCCUGGUAGUCCACGCCGUAAACGAUGUCUACUAGCCGUUGGGGUCCUUGAGACUUUAGUGGCGCAGUUAACGCGAUAAGUAGACCGCCUGGGGAGUACGGCCGCAAGGUUAAAACUCAAAUGAAUUGACGGGGGCCCGCACAAGCGGUGGAGCAUGUGGCUUAAUUCGAUGCAACGCGAAGAACCUUACCUGGUCUUGACAUAGUGAGAAUCCUGCAGAGAUGCGGGAGUGCCUUCGGGAAUUCACAUACAGGUGCUGCAUGGCUGUCGUCAGCUCGUGUCGUGAGAUGUUGGGUUAAGUCCCGCAACGAGCGCAACCCUUUUCCUUAUUUGCCAGCGGGUUAAGCCGGGAACUUUAAGGAUACUGCCAGUGACAAACUGGAGGAAGGCGGGGACGACGUCAAGUCAUCAUGGCCCUUACGACCAGGGCUACACACGUGCUACAAUGGUAGGUACAGAGGGUUGCUACACAGCGAUGUGAUGCUAAUCUCAAAAAGCCUAUCGUAGUCCGGAUUGGAGUCUGCAACUCGACUCCAUGAAGUCGGAAUCGCUAGUAAUCGCAGAUCAGAAUGCUGCGGUGAAUACGUUCCCGGGCCU
rnacentral:rRNA from 1 species